UGACUGCAUAGCUAGAGUGUGUCAGAGGGGGGUAGAAUUCCACGUGUAGCAGUGAAAUGCGUAGAGAUGUGGAGGAAUACCGAUGGCGAAGGCAGCCCCUGGGAUAACACUGACGCUCAUGCACGAAAGCGUGGGGAGCAAACAGGAUUAGAUACCCUGGUAGUCCACGCCCUAAACGAUGUCUACUAGUUGUCGGGUCUUAAUUGACUUGGUAACGCAGCUAACGCGUGAAGUAGACCGCCUGGGGAGUACGGUCGCAAGAUUAAAACUCAAAGGAAUUGACGGGGACCGCACAAGCGGUGGAUGAUGUGGAUUAAUUCGAUGCAACGCGAAAAACCUUACCUACCCUUGACAUGUACAGAAUCCCGAAGAGAUUUGGGAGUGUUCGAAAGAAAACUGUAACACAGGUGCUGCAUGGCUGUCGUCAGCUCGUGUCGUGAGA
rnacentral:rRNA from 1 species